UACGUAGGGGGCGAGCGUUGUCCGGAUUUAUUGGGCGUAAAGAGCGUGUAGGCGGUUCGGUAAGUCUGUCGUGAAAUCCUGAGGCUCAACCUCGGACGUGCGAUGGAUACUGCCGGGCUAGAGGAUGGUAGAGGCGAGUGGAAUUCCCGGUGUAGCGGUGAAAUGCGUAGAUAUCGGAAGGAACACCAGUGGCGAAAGCGACUUCCUGGUCGAAUACUGACGUUCAUGUGCGAAAGCGUGGGGAGCAAACAGG
rnacentral:rRNA from 1 species